rnacentral:tRNA from 1 species
AAAGAAGUGACAGAAAAAGUGAAUGCUGCUAACUUAUCACUAUAGCGGUUAAAAUCCGUUUACACUUCUAUA